rnacentral:miRNA from 1 species
GCUCUGAUCAUCAAUGAAGGA